AACCUUCCCAGUGGUACGGAAUAGCUCAGGGAAACUUGAGGUAAUACCGUAUAAGCCCCUAGGGGGAAAGAUUUAUCGCCAUUGGAUGGGCCCGCGUCGGAUUAGCUAGUUGGUGAGGUAACGGCUCACCAAGGCAACGAUCCGUAGCUGGUUUGAGAGAAUGACCAGCCACACUGGGACUGAGACACGGCCCAGACUCCUACGGGAGGCAGCAGUGGGGAAUCUUGGACAAUGGGCGCAAGCCUGAUCCAGCCAUGCCGCGUGAGUGACGAAGGCCUUAGGGUUGUAAAGCUCUUUUGGCGGGGACGAUAAUGACGGUACCCGCAGAAUAAGUCCCGGCUAACUUCGUGCCAGCAGCCGCGGUAAUACGAAGGGGACUAGCGUUGUUCGGAAUUACUGGGCGUAAAGCGCACGUAGGCGGAUUUGUAAGUCAGGGGUGAAAUCCCGGGGCUCAACCUCGGAACUGCCUUUGAUACUGCAAAUCUCGAGUCCGAUAGAGGUGGGUGGAAUUCCUAGUGUAGAGGUG
rnacentral:rRNA from 1 species